UUUGCAUAUCAAUAAGCGGAGGAAAAGAAACCAACAGGGAUUGCCUCAGUAACGGCGAGUGAAGCGGCAACAGCUCAAAUUUGAAAUCUGGCCUCUUUGGGGUCCGAGUUGUAAUUUGUAGAGGAUGUUUCGGGUACCGCCUCGGUUUAAAUUUCUUGGAACAGAAUGUCAAAGAGGGUGAGAAUCCCGUCUUGGACCGGCGGUAGGGCCCAUGUGAAACUCCUUCGACGAGUCGAGUUGUUUGGGAAUGCAGCUCAAAAUGGGUGGUAAAUUUCAUCUAAAGCUAAAUAUUGGCCAGAGACCGAUAGCGCACAAGUAGAGUGAUCGAAAGAUGAAAAGCACUUUGAAAAGAGAGUUAAACAGUAUGUGAAAUUGUUGAAAGGGAAGCGCUUACAACCAGACUUGAGCGCGGCGGUUCCCCCUUCCUUUUGGUUGGGUUACUCCGUCGUGUCCAGGCCAACAUCGGUUUCGGGGGUCGGUUAAAGACCUUGGGAAUGUAUCUACCCUUCGGGCGUAGACUUAUAGCCCAGGGUGUCAUGCGGCCUCCCGGGACCGAGGAACGCGCUUCGGCUCGGAUGUUGGCGUAAUGGUUGUCAGCGACCCGUCUUGAAACACGGACCAAA
rnacentral:rRNA from 1 species